rnacentral:lncRNA from 1 species
CCUGUUAUGGUUUGCAUGAUCCAUUGUUGUUUGCUUACUUGUCGCGAAAGUAAUAUUUUCAAAUAUAUUUUCAAUAUCAUUUAAUCAUGGAGACAACAGUCAAAUGGUUUAUCUUUUCUUCUAAUAAAACAAUCUUUAGCUGAGAAGUCGUUAUAAAAAGUUUGUUUUUGAAAUGGACCAAAACAUCUAUUUCACAAAUAUGUAUAGUAAUCUGCAUUAACCAGCUAAUU